GGAACAGAGGGUAAUUGUUGGGGGACCGGGCGGGGGGAUAACAUAGCCAGGGCAGGCAAUGUCAGCCUCUCUGAGAGGGGGGCAACUGAGCUGAGACCAAAGGAUGAGAAGGAGCCAGCGUGCGAGGAGCUGAGAGGGACCACGCAGGCAGAAUGACCGGCAUGUGCAAAGGCCCUGAGGCGGGAUAGUCUUGGAGAUGUUGGAGGCACUGAAAGGACGACCAGCUGGGGGAGCAGCUGGGUGCACGAGGGUGUGAGUGGGUUUAGCCCGCACUGUGGCUGCAGGAGACCUCCUGGAAGACUCCCUUCUUCUCCACUUUCACCACCUCCAGCAGGGGCAGGAGCGCUAGAAACACAACAUUCUGACCCAAGGAUCCCGAGCCUGAGAACAAGCUGGGAACACGCCCUCCACCUGGUGAGCGGCCGGCCGGGCAGCGUGUGCAUGCGGCAGUCGGCCCAAGUGGCCCAAGUGGCCCUCAGCGCUCCCCCAAGAGGUUUAGUCCCUCUGUUCCCAGGGCUCAGUGCUGCCAAGGUGCCUCUCUGACACCCCACGUACCCACAUGCAGGAGCUGGAGGCCUAACAUCUUUGAAGAAGUGUGCAGGCAUCGAACGCUCUUUGUGAAAAAUCUAAACAUGCAAAAACCCCCAAAAGAAUCCAAAAACCACUGUUCACAUUUUGCUAUGUGUCCUUCCAAAUACAAAUCUCGUUCUCCUGAUCUUCCCCAGACAGAUAGAUGGCUAGAUGGCUAGAUAGAUAGACAGAUAGAUGAAUGGAUAGAUAGAUGGAUGGAUGGAUGGAUGGAUGGAUGGAUGGAUAGACAGACAGACAGACAGACAGAUAGAUAGAUAGAUAGGUAGAUAGAUAGAUGGAUGGAUGGAUGGAUGGAUGGAUGGAUGGAUAGACAUACAGACAGACAGACACACAGAUAGAUGGAUAGAUAGAUAGAUAGAGAUGGAUGGAUAGAUAGAUGGGUGGAUAGAUAGGUAGAUAGAUUUGAUGAAUGCAUAGAUAGACAGACAGAUAGAUAGAUAGAUGGAUAGAUAGAGAGACAGACAAAUGGAUAGAUACAUAGAUAGAUAGCUCAAUAGAUAGAUAGAUGGAUGGAUGGAUGGAUGGAUGGAUAGAUGGAUGGAUGGAUGGAUGGAUGGAUAGAUAGACAGAUAGAUAGAUAGAUAGAUGAUAGAUAGACGGAUGGAUGGAUAGAUAGACAGAUGGAUAGAUAGAUAGAUAGAUAGAUAGAUAAAUGAUAGAUAGAUAGAUAGAUGAUAGACAUAGAUGAUGGAUAGAUGAUAGAAAAACAUAGAAGGAUGAUAGAUUGACAGAUGCAGAUAGAUUAAAAUAGAGAUAGACAUAACGCGUAUAGUUCGAUACACACAUGUAGACAGAUACAUACACAUCAACACAUAUACACACAUAGACACACACACACACAUACAUAUGCACA
rnacentral:lncRNA from 1 species